rnacentral:rRNA from 1 species
CCUGGUAUGCCUCAGUACGGCGAGUGAGCGGCAAAAGCUCAAAUUUGAAAUCCUUCGGGAGUUGUAAUUUGUAGGUUGGGAGACCCCGCGGCUAGUGGCACCAAGUCCCUUGGAACAGGGCGCCUUAGAGGGUGAGAGCCCCGUAGGUACCACAACACCGUCUUGUGUCUCCUCUCCAAAGAGUCGAGUUGUUUGGGAAUGCAGCUCAAAGUGGGUGGUAAAUUCCAUCUAAAGCUAAAUACCGGCGAGAGACCGAUAGCGAACAAGUACAGUGAUGGAAAGAUGAAAAGCACUUUGAAAAGAGAGUGAAACAGUACGUGAAAUUGUUGAAAGGGAAGGGCUUGCAAGCAGACACGGCCUUCGUGCCGGGCCAGCAUCGGUUGCUAGGGGUGGAUAAGGAACAAGGAAUGUAGCUCCUCGGAGUAUUAUAGCCUUGCGCGAUACACCCACUGGCGACCGAGGCCUGCGGUAUUCUUUACCUAGGAUGCUGGCGUAAUGGUUGCAAGCCGCCCGUCUUGAACCCCCGGACA